GGGCCUGCAGGCUGCGGCAACUCGGGCAGGGCUAGGCCGAGUUCCUCCCAUCCUAGGCCUGUGUCCACCCCUACGAGGUUCCAGCUCCCAAUUGAGGAGGUGCUGCAUAAACUAUAAAGACAUCAGGUGGGCGUGCCGUUCGAAGAUGGUGCAGAUUGCGAUGUUUACCCAUGUUCACAUCCAUCCUCCUCUCCCUCCCAGCCCACCACCACCAGUUUAUUUCUCGUAUAGGACUCUCAAAUUCAAAACAGCAGCAGCAACCAUUGCGAAAACGAGGAAAACGGAAGCAGCGACGCAUUCUGCUAUCACUCAUACUGCUUCCGUUUCUGGGUCGUUUAAUCAAGCAGCUGAUGGGCAAUUAGUACCCGAAAGCGAAGCGAAGAAGAGAGGCAAGAAGAGGGUGUUCUUCUUGGACGUUAAUCCUCUCUGCUAUGCGGGAAGCACGCCUAGCUUACGUUCUUUUGGUCGUUGGGUCUCUCUUUUCUUCUCUCAAGUCAGCCUUAGCGACCCUGUCAUUGCCGUUCUUGAUGGGGAAGGGGGCAGCGAGCAUCGCAGACAGCUAUUGCCUUCAUAUAAAGCACACAGGAAGAAAUUCGUAAGACAAUUUCCAGCUUCACAAAGAUUUUCAAGGGGCCAUGUUGGAAGGUCGCAUGGAAUCAUCGCUGAUGUACUUGGAAAAUGCAAUGUUCCAGUCAUAAAAAUUAAAGGCCAUGAAGCAGAUGAUGUUGUAGCUACACUUGCUGGACAAGUUCUACAAAAAGGCUAUCGGGUGGUAAUUGCUUCUCCUGAUAAAGACUUUAAGCAAUUGAUUUCAGAAGAUGUUCAAAUUGUUAUGCCUUUAGACGAGUUAGACCGAUGGUCCUUUUACACCAUAAAGCACUACAUUGCUCAGUAUGAUUGUGAGCCACGCUGUGAUUUGAGCCUUAGAUGCAUUGUGGGUGAUGAGGUUGAUGGAGUUCCUGGGAUCCAACAUAUGGCUCCUGGAUUUGGUCGAAAGACUGCCCUAAAGCUUUUAAAAAAGCAUGGUUCAUUGGAAAAUUUAUUAAAUGCUGCUGCAGUGAGAACUGUGGGUAAACAAUAUGCACAAGAAGCCCUUACAAAGUAUGCUGAUUACCUGCGAAGGAAUUACGAGGUUCUUGCCCUUAAGAGGGACAUUGAUAUUCAACUUAAGGAGGAGUGGUUAGUUGAGAGAGAAACACACAAUGAUUUGACCAUUCUAUCUAAUUUCUUCAAAUUGUUUGGAAGAAACUCGGAAGCUCACUCAUCAAACUGGAUCUAAUUUUUCAGAUGGUUAAGAUCCAACUGUCUGAUGUAUCCAGAUGAAAAAUUAUCGAUAACCAAGAGCUUGAGGGACCUGUAACUGGCAAUUUAAAGUUCACUGCCAUGUUCUAGCAGGGAGUAGUUCAAACUGAAGGUGGGAAACGUGUUAAUGAAAUUUGAUGAGAUUCCGCUGUGAGGAUUCUUAAUAUACAAAGGGGAAGGAAGAAGCUGCUGGGCAUGGUGGUUUGCAAGUGUGGUCACUCUUACUUUUGGAAGAAAGAAAAGAACUUAGAUAGGCUGAGUGACUCCUCCAAUUUCUGACAAUUCUAGACUGUUGGAAAUCAAGAACUGUGAAUUUCAUGAAUAUGUUAAUGCAGUAAUACCUGCAGAUGCAGUAUUCAAUGUAUAUAUUAAACUUGGAACUUUUUCCAAAUAUGUAUGGGUGGACAAUAGCUCCAUAUGUUGCUUCCUC